UAUUAAAUUUAUUUUUUGUGGGGGAGUGCCCAUCACGGUAGCUUGCUGCCGGGGCUCUCGCGUGUCGCCCAGGCGUUGCACUGUUGCCUGGGCCUGUCGCACCCCAA
rnacentral:snRNA from 1 species